AUUGAACGCUGGCGGCAGGCCUAACACAUGCAAGUCGAGCGGCAGCGGGAAAGUAGCUUGCUACUUUUGCCGGCGAGCGGCGGACGGGUGAGUAAUGCCUGGGAAAUUGCCCAGUCGAGGGGGAUAACAGUUGGAAACGACUGCUAAUACCGCAUACGCCCUACGGGGGAAAGCAGGGGACCUUCGGGCCUUGCGCGAUUGGAUAUGCCCAGGUGGGAUUAGCUAGUUGGUGAGGUAAUGGCUCACCAAGGCGACGAUCCCCAGCUGGUCUGAGAGGAGGAUCAGCCACACUGGAACUGAGACACGGUCCAGACGCCUACGGGAGGCAGCAGUGGGGAAUGUUGCACAAUGGGGGAAACCCUGAGGCAGCCAUGCCGCGUGUGUGAAGAAGGCCUUCGGGUUGUAAAGCACUUUCAGCGAGGAGGAAAGGUUGAUGCCUAAUACGUAUCAACUGUGACGUUACUCGCAGAAGAAGCACCGGCUAACUCCGUGCCAGCAGCCGCCGUAA
rnacentral:rRNA from 1 species